UUAAAUUAAAGAUAUGUCAAAUGUACCAAAAUGUCUUUUAAUUUUGUGGUCUUAAACAUGCCACGUGGAAAUUUAAAAUUAAAAAGUUGCUAUAAAAGAGUAGAGAUAAUUCUUUUUUAAACGGACUAAAAAGAAAAGUAAAUUGUUCUUUUUGAAAUGAAGGGAGUAUAUGAAAGAUGACCGGAAGUUUACCUUUCCGUUUGCGUCGUGGACUAUUCUGUUCAUCGACCUGGAAACAAAGUCCCCAGGGAAAUGCUUUGGAGAUGCUUGGAGGUGAGUGGAGUACCGCAGGCAUAUAUCAGAGUUAUUAAGGAUAUGUAUGAGGGAGCGAAAACCCAGGUGAGGACGGCGGGAGGAGACUCAGAGCAUUUCACUGUCCUGACAGGAUUGCAUCAGGGAUCUACUCUUAGUCCCUUUUUGUUUGCGUUAGUAAUGGAUGUGUUGACGCGGCGUAUCCAAGGGGAGGUGCCGUGGUGUAUGCUUUUUGCAGACGAUGUAGUCCUGAUAGAUGAGACUCGAGGGGGUGUGAAUGACAAAUUAGAGUUGUGGAGGCAAACUCUGGAGUCUAAAGGGUUCAGGGUGAGCAGAACCAAGACAGAGUAUGUGGAAUGUAAGUUUAAUGACGUGAGGCGGGAGAAUGAGGUAGUAGUGAGGCUAGAAGCACAGGAGGUAGGGAAGAGGGAUAAGUUCAAGUAUCUCGGGUCCGUGAUCCAGAGUAACGGUGAGAUUGACGAGGAUGUCUCGCACCGUAUUGGGGCGGGAUGGAUGAAGUGGAAACUCGCAUCGGGGGUGCUGUGUGAUAAGAAGGUGCCGCCCAAGCUUAAAGGCAAAUUCUAUAGGGUGGUAGUCCGUCCGGCCUUGCUGUAUGGAGCGGAGUGUUGGCCAGUUAAGAACUCCCACAUCCAAAAAAUGAAGGUGGCAGAAAUGCGGAUGUUGCGCUGGAUGUGUGGACUGACCCGAGGGGAUAGAGUUCGGAAUGAGACUAUCCGGGAGAAGGUUGGUGUGACUUCAGUGGAGUGUAAGAUGCGGGAAGCACGAUUGAGAUGGUUCGGACACGUGAAGAGGAGGGGCACGGAUGCCCCGGUCCGUAGGUGUGAGAGGCUAGCGUUGGAUGGUUUUAGACGGGGUAGGGGUAGACCGAAGAAGUACUGGGGUGAGGUGAUUAGGCGGGACAUGGAACAGUUACAGCUCACCGAGGACAUGACCCUAGAUAGGAAGGUCUGGAAGACGCGAAUUACGGCAGAGGAUUAGGGCCAGUGCGGGUCGCUAGUGCAGGGAAUUAAUUGGUGGGGGUGUAUGCCUGUUAUGAUUCUGUAUUCAGUGUUUCGUGUUCCGUGUUCCAUGUUUAUUACGAAUAUGUGUGCUUUCCUCUGCUUUAUAUUCCUGCAUUCCCGCUUUACUCUGUUUUAUAUUCCCAAUGGGUGCCGUAUUUAUGUUAUGUCAUCUGCUUCUGUGCUGUACUAUGUGUUGUGUGAUAUCUCGUGACUUGAGCCGGGGGUCUUUCGGAAACAGCCUUUCUACUUCAUCAGAGGUAGAGGUAUGGACUGCGUACAUCUUACCCCCCCCAGACCCCACUAAGUGGGAAUACACUGGGUUUGUUGUUGUUGUAUUGCUCUAUCUUUGAAUCUUGUGGUGUUAAAUUAAAGAUAUGUCAAAUGUACCAAAAUGCCUUUUAAUUUGUGGUCUUAAACAUGCCACGGGGAAAUUUAAAAUUAAAAAGUUGCUAUAAAAGAGUAGAGAUAAUUCUUUUUUAAACGGACUAAAAAGAAAAGUAAAUUGUUCUUUUUGAAAUGAAGGGAGUAUAUGAAAGAUGACUGGAAGUUUACCUUUCCGUUUGCGUCGUGGACUAUUCUCCAGAUUUAUUUUCCACCAAACUCUGAAGUGCUUUUGUUGAUUGGAAUCAAGAUAGAGCAAUACUUACUUCAAAGACUCUAAAGGAAUAUCCAUAUAAUGGGAAGUAAAAUGUGAUAUGAACUACAAAGUGGAAGUUAUCU
rnacentral:lncRNA from 1 species